UACGUAGGGGGCGAGCGUUGUCCGGAGUUACUGGGCGUAAAGCGCACGCAGGCGGUCUGCUAAGUUUGGAGUGACAGUUGGUGGCUUAACUGCCAAAGUGCUUCGAAAACUGACAGACUUGAGGGCUUCAGAGGGACACGGAAUUCCGGGUGGAGUGGUGAAAUGCGUAGAGAUCCGGAGGAACACCAAAGGCGAAGGCAGUGUCCUGGGGAGUCACUGACGCUCGGGUGCGAAAGCCAGGGGAGCGAACGGG
rnacentral:rRNA from 1 species